rnacentral:rRNA from 1 species
CGGCACGGGUGAGUAACACGUAUCCAACCUGCCGUCUACUCUUGGACAGCCUUCUGAAAGGAAGAUUAAUACAAGAUGGCAUCAUGAGUCCGCAUGUUCACAUGAUUAAAGGUAUUCCGGUAGACGAUGGGGAUGCGUUCCAUUAGAUAGUAGGCGGGGUAACGGCCCACCUAGUCUUCGAUGGAUAGGGGUUCUGAGAGGAAGGUCCCCCACAUUGGAACUGAGACACGGCCCAA